AAAGAGGGGACCACAGUCAUAUUUUGGAGACAUCAUACAGAGGCUUUUCACCUGUGCAUGCAAAACCGUGCUAAGGAAGCCCAGCCUGGUUUGCACGGGUGUGUGAACCACUGGGAUUGCACCUAAUCCCGGCAGCACCAUGGCAGCAAACCCACGUGUGGAGCCAUCCUUCUCAAUGGAGUUAGGAGAGCAAGUGCUUCCCUAACCCUGUUUAUCUGAUCGCGUGUCAGCCGUGGCUGCUUGCGGCCAUGGGAAGGGAAGGGGGGGAUCCCCACAACACACUGUGCACGUAAGUUGUACAUGACUGGAGCUCCAGUGGGGUGGAGUGGAACAUAGGAACAUAGGAAACUGCCAUAUACUGAGUCAGACCAUUGGUCCAUCUAGCUCAGUAUUGUCUACACUGACUGGCAGCGGCUUCUCCAAGGUUGCUGGCAGGAGUCUCUCUCACCUAAGGGGACAAGUCAUGCUUGCUACCACAAGACCAGCUCUCCUGGUCUUGUGAGGGAAUGUGCCCCAAUGUGCAUUGCAAGGCAAUGCACCCCAACCCUCAGAGCUACUAGCAGGAGCCUGUGCUUGUCUGGAUGGGUGAUCUGCCCACCCAAGGAAGAACUGCUCAUCUGCAGGGAAGGUACAUUUAACCAGCCUUCCCCACAGCCCACCCUUUAGCCAUUCUCAGUGCUCAUGAGGAGAGGCUCACGGCCUGUUCAACAAGGAAGGCUCAAGCUAUUGUGGUGCCUGAGGCGAGAUGUAAAAUGCUCUUGCUGCAUGACACUGGUAGGGGGCAGCCCUUACAAGGAACUGCCCCUUGUAAGCUUUGAAGGUGGUGUGGAGGAUGAGUAAGAGGGGAGGUUGACAGCAGCCUCCUCUUCUCUCCUUGUGAUUCUUGGAACCUUUGCAAGGAGUGUGAGGCAACGCUUACAAGGCUCAGAUUGGUCACCAAGAACUCCUCCAAUGGCAGCUGCAAGUAAUGGCAGCUGUCUUCUUGCCGCCCUGCUGGUGCCCAGUACUCUGCCACCUGAGGCGACUACCUCACCUCACCUCCUAAAAGAACUCCCCACUCUUCAAGGACAAGAGAUUAUAUAGCCUUCUGCUCUCUACUCAGGAUGAACAGAUUUUAAGACCAUGCAGGGUCAUACUGCACAUGCGUGGCAGCCUCCAAAAUGGCCACUGUGGCAAGGAAUAGGCCUGGAGAGGACCGAAGACCGCCCAGACUGGAAAAAAAUUCUGACCUCCGUUUCAGCAUUGCAUGAAAUUGACUUCUCUGACUCUCCUCUCCACUCCAGCUGAGGCAUUGAGUGUUUCAAAAGGAUUAUCAGAAGAUAAGAUAUGCAAAAAGCGGCAGUGCUUCCCUGUAGAGCAUGAGUGAUUUAGUUAAGAAUGUAUUGUAUUGCAAUGUAAUGAAUUGUGUACUAAGGAAUUCUGAGUAACCUGAGAGUAGCCAUUGCCAACACAAUACCCUGAGCUGCUUGCUUUGAGAAUGUCGAAGAAGUGUGCCAGCCUGGAAUGGAUUAAUCAAUUUAUCUGCUGCAUUACUUUUUUUUUUGCUCCUGAGAAGAUUUCACCCCCCCACCCCCUUGAGAGAAUUGCUGCCUGCCAGUGCUAGCCCUAGACCGAGUGAGUGAACCGCCAUUUACACAAACACACACACACACACACACACCCUCCCUCCCUCCCUCCCUCCCUCCCUCCCUCUGGAAUUCUGGAUUUUUGGGUUAAUUGAAUGUACAAAGUUGUGUGUUGUUUAGUUUAGAAGAAGUUUAAACAGGGGUUCUGUGGGAGGGAUCCCUCUAAAAGUCAAUUUGACUUCCAAAAACCCUACCUCAUCAGCAAACACCUUCCGUUUGAUUGAAAUCAAACUGACCUGCAAAGGGAUUUGGGAGACAGCAUUUUGAGACAGAAAGACUCAAAUGUCUUUGGGAGCUCAAUGCAGUUCUGAAGCUCUUGCUAAAAGCCAUGGUAUAAGUUGUGUGGAGAAGCUUUUCAAGAAGUUGCUUAGGAAAGUUAUGAAAUUACACAGGUUUUUCUUUCCAAAGGUUUAGAAAGAAUCUCUUGACUUGUUCAGGGGUCUUUUGAAGAGCUAUUUUGUUUUCCUUCUGAUAUUUAUGAGUUAUAGUGGUGUCUAAGUUUUGUUGCCCAAGUUGAGCAGUCUAAUGUAAUUUAGGCCGCAAUGUAAUUUGGUAGUUCAUGAUGCCUAAGCCAGUGGUUCACAACUUUUGCCAUUGCAGGUACAUGUCAUCCACAUGGGACUACAGGAGACAAAAAAGGGGGGGGGGGAAUACCCCCAUCAAUCUACUGACAUACUCAGGAAUCUUAGUUGCUUCUCUCUUUCUUGUAACCAUGAUCCAAGGUUUUGCACUUUCAUAAAUGCAGUGAUGAUGUAUCUCAACAAUUCUGAACAGUAGGCAGAUUUGUUUGGGGUGCUGCUCACUCCACUUCAGUUAAAUGAACAUUUGAAGCUGCUCCAUAGUACUAAGGCAGGUCAUUGGUCUAUCUUGCUAUCUCCAGUGACCUGUGGUCACUGUUCUAUGGAGAGAGAGCAUUUUUAUUGAAAGAUUGUUUGAAUCCAUGAAUGGGUAGUGCUGCUGUGCUAGUGCCACAGGGACAGGCUCAAACCCGCUGCAAAAUUCUCAAAUAACUGUGCCCCCAAAUUGUUGUUGUUCAUCAUUCUCUUCACUCUUUCAACUUGUUUAUGUGGGGCUUCAGGGGGAAAACAGUGGGUUGGGUGUCAGUGCCCCAAGGGGUGGUGCACCCAGAUUCCAAAGGAAUAGGGCAAAGGGCUGAUUCCUUAGGAAUUUUUGAGGCUUACGCGUCUUUAAGAUUUCCCCCCAUAGGGAAUAAUUGAGGUUUCAGCAGCCCUAUAGCUCCACCUGGGGGGGCACUGGGGUGGCCCGGAGUGAGUGGUGGUGUAGUGCACAUAGGGUGCCAACCACCCCCAUGGGUUGCUAACCCAUGGGGUGAUGGUUUCUGUUG